UACGUAGGGGGCGAGCGUUGUCCGGAUUUAUUGGGCGUAAAGAGCUCGUAGGCGGUUUGGUAAGUUGGAUGUGAAAUCUCCAGGCUCAACUUGGAGGGGUCAUUCGAUACUGCCAUGACUAGAGUUCGGUAGGGGAGUGUGGAAUUCCUGGUGGAGCGGUGAAAUGCGCAGAUAUCAGGAGGAACACCAAUAGCGAAGGCAGCUCGCUGGGACGUUACUGACACUGAGGCGCGAAAGCGUGGGGAGCGAACAGG
rnacentral:rRNA from 1 species